UCUCCUGGGAAACGGGUGGUAAUGCCGGAUGCUCCGACUCCUCGCAUGGGGUGUCGGGAAAGAUUUCAUCGGUAUGGGAUGGGGUCGCGUCCUAUCAGGUAGUCGGCGGGGUAACGGCCCACCGAGCCUACGACGGGUAGCCGGCCUGAGAGGGCGACCGGCCACAUUGGGACUGAGAUACGGCCCAGACUCCUACGGGAGGCAGCAGUGGGGAAUAUUGCACAAUGGGCGCAAGCCUGAUGCAGCGACGCCGCGUGCGGGAUGACGGCCUUCGGGUUGUAAACCGCUUUUGAUCGGGAGCAAGCCUUCGGGUGAGUGUACCUUUCGAAUAAGCACCGGCUAACUACGUGCCAGCAGCCGCGGUAAUACGUAGGGUGCAAGCGUUAUCCGGAAUUAUUGGGCGUAAAGGGCUCGUAGGCGGUUCGUCGCGUCCGGUGUGAAAGUCCAUCGCUUAACGGUGGAUCUGCGCCGGGUACGGGCGGGCUGGAGUGCGGUAGGGGAGACUGGAAUUCCCGGUGUAACGGUGGAAUGUGUAGAUAUCGG
rnacentral:rRNA from 1 species